UACAGAGGGUGCGAGCGUUAUUCGGAAUUACUGGGCGUAAAGCGUGUGUAGACGGUUAUUUAAGUCGGGUGUGAAAGCCCCGGGCUCAACCUGGGAAUUGCAUUCGAGACUGAAUAGCUAGGGUACGGUAGAGGGAAGUGGAAUUUCCGGUGUAGCGGUGAAAUGCGUAGAUAUCGGAAGGAACAUCAGUGGCGAAAGCGACUUCCUGGACCAGUACCGACGUUCAGGCACGAAAGCGUGGGGAGCAAACAGG
rnacentral:rRNA from 1 species